rnacentral:rRNA from 1 species
GCUUAUACAUGCAAGUCGAGGGGCAGCGGGGUAGCAAUACCGCCGGCGACCGGCAAACGGGUGCGGAACACGUACGCAACUUACCCUAAACUGGUGAAUAGCCUUCGGAAACGAAGAUUAAUACACCGUAAAAUAAUUGAGUGGCAUCAUUUGAUUAUAAUAGCUCCGGCGGUUUAGGAUGGGCGUGCGUCCCAUUAGCUAGUUGGUAAGGUAACGGCUUACCAAGGCGACGAUGGGUAACUGGUGUGAGAGCACGACCAGUCACACGGGCACUGAGACACGGGCCCGACUCCUACGGGAGGCAGCAGUGAGGAAUAUUGGUCAAUGGACGCAAGUCUGAACCAGCCAUGCCGCGUGAAGGAUGAAGGCGUUCUGCGUUGUAAACUUCUUUUAUCUGGGAAGAAACCUCUGAUUUCUAUUGGAGCCGACGGUACCAGAGGAAUAAGCACCGGCUAACUCCGUGCCAGCAGCCGCGGUAAUACGGAGGGUGCAAGCGUUAUCCGGAUUCACUGGGUUUAAAGGGUGUGUAGGCGGGCUUUUAAGUCAGUGGUGAAAUCUCCAGGCUCAACCUGGAAACUGCCAUUGAUACUAUCAGUCUUGAAUAUUGUUGAGGUAGGCGGAAUAUGUCAUGUAGCGGUGAAAUGCUUAGAUAUGACAUAGAACACCGAUUGCGAAGGCAGCUUGCUAAACAAUUAUUGACGCUGAGGCACGAAAGCGUGGGGAUCAAACAGGAUUAGAUACCCUGGUAGUCCACGCCCUA